CUUUUUGCUCACCCCACCUGGUACUCCAUGUCGUAGCUGGGCAGGAUGAUCCGCCCGUGCUUCCACUCGCCGCCCUGGUCCUCACGGAUGACCCACAGCAACUUGCUCUCCUGGCUGGCUUCCCGCACCACCUGCAGCGCCACCCCGCGGCCGCCCGUGGCCUGGGACUGUGAAUAUCCUGGACUUGUCAGGGUAGAUGGGCUAGGAUUCUAGAGCCUAGAAUCAAUGCAAUACUCCCUGGACCACUGCUUUGCUGUUGUUAAUCCUGCUGACCUCAACUUUCUAGCAUUUACUGACUGUACUGCUGAUUUUAUGUUUUUAAAAGGACUUCAGGCAGGCCAUUUUCCAUGGAUUUCAGCAGUUUCACAAAUAAGACCCACUUGCUGC
rnacentral:lncRNA from 1 species